CUUUUUCUUUGUUCUUAUUUCCUUCUUCUGCCCUUAUUCCCCCAUGGCAGCACCUUACCUCUCACCAACAGUCCUCCCUCUCUCACUGAAACCAUAUAUCUUUCUCUAAGAAGGAAUCAAACUCUUACUAAAGUUUCAACUUCAGUUGUGGGUGUUACCAGUUCUCAAGUCUAAGCUCCUUCGAUUGUAGGCUUUCAGUUCCUCUGCUUUUAGUCGACAGGUUUUAUUUUGGAGCAAAGGGAGCCUUAGUCAAGUUUUGGAAGGGGAUGGUUUUAGUUUUAAAAGUAGGAAUCCCAAUUUAGCAAUUUGAUGUUUAGCUUUGUAGUAUUGUUUAUUUUAGGAUCUAAUGAAAGUGUGUACCUUAAAGUAUUAAGAGAUGUAUUAUGUGAAAUUCCGAAUUUGAA